AAAACAUAGAGUUCUCCAACUAAAUGAUAUGUAUAAAGGUUGAGUUACAUCACAGCUAACUUCAUGGUUCUAGUAGAGAAGGUAAACUAUCAUACAUACAAUUAUUGUUCAGUAUAUUUCUAAAAUGAAUUCAAAAUAAUUUCAACUCUUCAUUUUUUGUAUUCAUGCUUCAAAUUUCAGCCUACAUUGACCAAUGUAUCUGUUGUGUACCUGGUAUAGGAAAGCAAAAGAAGAAGAGGAAUGAUCAGUGCAGCAGUAGCAUACACAGCAACAACAGCAACAGAAAACAGCAACACAACCCCAGCAGUCAGAUUUUUUGUUACCAACAGCAAACCCAGCAAAACAAAAUCCAAUAAUACCCAGUAGGAGGAACCAGCAACAGAUUUAAACCAAACAGAAGUCCAGUGAACUUUCAGACCAACAGAAAGCCAAGAACACUCAACUGAAACAGUGUUCAACAAGUAAAGGACCCAGUUUGCACCCCAGCAGCAUCAAAACAAAUACAGGCUAAGCAGAGAAGGAAGCAGAUGUAGAAAAGCAGUAGCUUCUGAUUGUUAUGUUCAAAAAUCCAGCACACUCUUAGCUCUCUAUUACUCUGAAACAGCCUAUCCUCUAAAGGUUGGAAGAACAGCCUUGUUUUUGCUUUUAUUUUCUAUCAACACUUAAAACUGUCCAGCCAGCAAACAAAACUGUCGCCUUUUGUUCUAAAACCAACCUAUUUAUAAGCAAAGUAGGCAAGCACCAGGCUCUCUUGAUCCCUUCAGCCCUUACCCCUUUAAACUAAUCGACAAUGCCCAUCCUCCUGACAGCCCUCUCAUGGGUUUUUGUACCCAGGAGGUAUGGGGAGACUAUAAUAUUCAAUUACCCCAUGCUAUCAAGUUUUGUUCCCCACUAUUGUAUUAGUUUAAUCAUAUUUCAGUACCCUACUGUCAGCCCAACUUAAACUGACCAUUUUCUGAUCUUUUCAAACCCCAAACUACCCCUUUUAACCCCUGAUUAUUACUGUUUUAAACUGAGCUUCAGCAACCUAAAGUUUGAACUUAUGGAAGUUCAAACUCAACAACUGCCCAAGACUGACUUCUAACCAUUUCCUAAGUUCACUGCAACCAUAAACCAUUCAUAGCUAAAUUCAAAUAAUCAGCUAAAUUACAAUGGUUUGAUCAAACAUGUGAGGUUUAUCAAAAACAGACCAUUUGAACAUUCAGCCUUGUAAAACUAAUCGACGACGUUUAUCUAAUCGACUAUACUAAUUAUAACAUAGAACAAUCAGUCGAUAAACAAAUAAUAUGAACAGGGUCCCAAAUGGCUUCAGAUAACUUUGCACAAAACAGAGGAACAGCAUAAAUGGAACACUUGACGACACUGAUCAAAUCGAGUAUGUAUAUCACCAUACAUAUUUAACAAUAAACAGAAGAAUAGUCGACCAAAUAAAAAGGUCUUACGAAGACGGAGGAAAUUGAAAGAACAUAUCAGAAAUAUCAACAAACUAACUAAACAUGUUAACAAACUCAAACAACAUUCAAACAAGAAACAGAAAAGAAAAAGAAAACUCACUCUGGAAGCUCAACAACAAACGACCCAAGUUUUGACUGGAUUUAACCAUUUGAGGUCGAACAGACUUUAAUCGAGGUGUUCUCAAUCGAGAACACUUCGAUUAAGGUCUAUUAGACCCCAACCCUCCGUUUAAACUGGUCGGAUUCCCAAAGUUCUUGUGCUCUAGGGUUUGAACAGUCCGAUUUGGGGCUUGAGGGUUUGUGGGUAGAUUCGGACCAAACCAAACUUGAUUUGGUCACGAGUGAAGCCAGGGUAUUGACCGGUGUGAAUCUGGGGUGGGUUGGUGUAGAUCGGGGUUUUGCUCGAAUCUUCAAACAAAGAUUCGAGACGAUGGGGAAUGAUUCGAGGCAAGCUGCUAAUGGAUUCGUGUUCAGGGUGGUUGGGUGCAUCAGGGGUGUUAUUUUGGUGGUCACCGGCGUCGUGGUUGCCGGGUUUACGGUGAAAGUGUAUGGUGGCGGCUAGGGUUUGGAACGGGGGGUUUGGGUUCGUCUCUGGGAUGAUGGUGCACAGUAGGCGAGGGGUGGUUUGGUUUGGAGGCGUGGGUAAAGGGGUGGGGCCUUAUAUACGGAGGGGGAAAAUGGAUCCUGGCCGUUGGAUCAGGUGAAAUCGAGGGCCAGGAUCCCUUCACUUAAAGGGAACGGUGUCGUUCCACUUAAAAGGAGGUCGGGCUGGUCCGGGGCCAAAUGGGUCGGGCAUCUGGGGGUGGUUUGAGUCCGUUGGAUUAAAUGAAAUGAACGGCUCUGAUUAGACGCACCUAAACGGCGUCGUUUCAAUUUAGACGGGAGGUGAGCUGGACCGUUAGAUCUGUUUGAUCAACGGUCCAUAUCUGAUAGGCUAGAACGACGUCAUUUGGGGAGGUCCUUGAGAUCUAGUUUGGACUGGGUCGUUGUAAUUGGUUUGGGCCUGAUUUUCAGUUGAAUUUUGGCCCAAAUCCGGUAUUUUCUUUCGUUAUAAUUAAACAAAAUUCCUAAAAACCAAAAUUAAACUACCCCAAUAUUAAUUAACACCUAACAACAAUUAUCGCACGAAUUAAAACAUUUAAUAAAAUUACCAUGACAAUAAAUAGAAUAAAAAUGCAUAUUUUUUGUGGUUUUCGCUUUUAAAACCAAAUAAUGGUUAAUUAAUUCCUAAAUAUACCAUUUUUCCUAAAUGCAUGCAACAUGUAUUUUUGUAUCUUUAACUAUAACAAGGCAAGCAUUUAUGGACAGAACAAUAUCAAAAUGUCACACAAAUUCUCAAAAUUGUACCCGAAGGUUACUUGUUUUAUUUCUUUUUCGAUUUCUUUUGGAGUAGUUUCCGUGAAGCAAAAAUCACGUGCUCACAAGAACUGUGAGAACCAUGACCCGAUGAUGCCCCAGGAUAACCUGGGCGAGCUGAUUGAGUCUGCCUACAUGGACGGCCUUUGCCCUACUGGAACUGACCCCUCGAAGGAGCACUACUAAAGCUACCAGAUCCCCGAGGCCUCUUAGCCUCCCUCUCCUCUCACUCCUGGUGAAGAACCGACUCAAUCUCAUGGGCGAUGUCAACAACCUCCUUGAAAGUAGCACCUAUCACCCUCUCCCUAAUCAUAAGAAUCUGAAGCUGAUAUGUGAGGCCAUCAACAAAUCUCCUGAUCCUCUCUCGAUCUGUGGGAACUAACCAGACCGCAUGACGAGCUAACUCAGAGAACCGCAUCUCAUACAGCGUCACAGUCAUCUCUCCCUAAUGCAACUACUCGAACUGCCUGCGCAGCUCCUCUCGGCAAGAUUGUGGCACAUACUUCUCCAGAAAGAGAACAGAGAACUGCUGCCAGGUAAGGGGCGCUACACCAACAGGCCUACGCCUCUCAUACGCCUCCCACCAAGUGAAGGCAGCCCCAGAAAACUGAAAUGUAGUUAAUGCUACACCACUGGUCUCCAGAAUACCCGCUAUACGAAGCAUCCUCUAGCACUUAUCUAAGAAACCGUGGGCAUCCUCUCCCUUUGCACCACUGAAGGUCAGAAGCUGGAGUCUACCAAACCUCUCUAAUCGACGCUGCUCAUCGUUCGGCAUAACUGGUACCACAUACUCCUGAGCUGGUGCAACCGGCUGGGCUGGAGGUGCCCCCGAUGUCUGAAGUCCCUACACAACCUGCUUAGGUGUGCGAGAAACGGGAGAUUGGGUGCCUCCCCCAGCCUGAGAAGUAGCUGCGACCGUAGUAACUGAGACCGCCUGAGCCAAAUCGGUACACACUGAUAAAAUCUGAGCUAAAGCCUUCUGAAGGCCUGGAAUCACAAUUGGCACAGCUGGUGCCUGAGCUGGUGCUGCUGUAGUGUCCACAACUGGGACCCGAUCCGGAAUUGGGGUAGCUGGUGGAUCUGCAGGUGCUGCCCUAGCUGCUCUGCCCCUACCACGGCCUCGACCGCGUCCUCGGCCUCUAGUGGCCCCAGCUGGUGGUACUGGUGGUCAUCCAUCCUGCUCGGUAGCACGUGUCCUCACCAUCUGUGAGAGAAUUGAAAAUAAAAGUUUAGUACUCGGAUCAACAGAUUCGCACGACAAGAAUUUCAAGAAUAUGGAGUUUUUCCUAAAGGUCAUGCAGCCUCUCGAGGAUAAAUACAGACAUCUCCGUACCGAUCUGCGAAAUUCUACUAAACUGGCUCAUGACUCGCGAGACCUAUGUAACCUAGGCUCUGAUACCAACUUGUCACAACCCCGAAUACCCGAUCAUGAUGGCGCCUAUCACAUUACUAGGCAAGCCAACCCAAACAUCGAUCAUAACCCUUUUUCUAUUAAUAUACCAUUUUCUAACACGAGUUUAAAUACCAAAUUUUCAUAAUAAGUGUUUAAAACAACUAAAAUAUAUGGAAGUCAAUAGAACAUGAGACAACACAGCCCAAACAUAUGGUUUCACGAGUUUAGAGCCUCUAAUACACAGCCAACUGUCUAAUGCAUCGUAAGUCUAAAAAUACGGAAAAUAACAAGAUAGGAAGGAGAAAAGCAGGGUUGCGGACGUCAUGUAGCUACCUCGCAAUCUCCGGCAAACUCUUAAUAAGCUGAGGAUCCUCACUCUGCCGCUCGGGCACCUGGAUCUGCACACAAGGUGCAGGGAAUAAUGUGAGUACGCUAACUCAGUAAGUAACAAAAGUAAAUAAGGUCUGAAAGUAGUGACAAGCAGUUAAAAAUCAUAUAAAUAAAUAAACAACAGGAUAACAGAUCAAACUCCACUGUUUAAAACCAGUUCUGUCAUAAAAAUCAUCAAUUUCAGUUUAAAUACUUGAAAUCAUAUACUGAGCAAUUUCUCAACAGAGGCUUAUUUUAAAAGAAGAGUGAAAUCAGUGAAAUUAUCAUAACCGGGCCUCUCGGGCAUGAUAUCACUCAGAAUAUGGCCUCUCGGGCAACUUCUCAAUCACUCGGUACUCACUCUCAGCACUCAGGCUCAUUAAUACCUCAUAAUAAUAAUCAUCAUAUAACCGUUGUGGCGUGCAACCCGAUCCAUACUUUAUAUUCGACUACGCUCACUAGAGGUGUACAGACUCCGGAGGGGCUCCUAUAGCCCAAGCGUCAUAUCUCUACGGCGCACAGUCCGAUCCAAUAUAUAUAUCGCUGCGGCGUGCAGCCCGAUCCAUAUAAGUACUGUUGUGGCGUGCAGCCCGAUCAAUAAUUCAUACAUAUAUAAANNNNNNNNNNNNNNNNNNNNNNNNNNNNNNNNNNNNNNNNNNNNNNNNNNNNNNNNNNNNNNNNNNNNNNNNNNNNNNNNNNNNNNNNNNNNNNNNNNNCACAACAGUAGAAAUUAGGGAACUCAGUCCAAACAGUCCUCACAUUUAAGAAGUAGAGUGAUAAAAUUAGUUUUAAACAAUAAAUAGGUAAAACAUGACUGAGGAUAUGCUUUCAAACAAGUAGAUAAAGGAAAAAAAACAGUAAAAAUGCCCCUAAAGGUCUCAACAGGUCGGCACAAGGCCCAAACAUGGCAUACAGCCCACAAAAUAGUAUAAAUGACUAAGUACGGAAUAUCAUAAGGUUUCUGAUCAAAUACGUGGCUUAAUAGUCGCUACGGGAUGGACCAAGUCACAAUCCCUACCGGUGCACCCCCACACGCACGUCACCUAGCAUGUGCGUCAUCACAUUUAUCAAAACAAGUCAAAUACCGGGGUUUUGUACCCUCAGUUCCAGAUUUACAAUGGUUACUUACCUCAAACCGGUGAAAUACUACUACGCGAUGCCUUUUCCCCUCAAGUCGGCCUCCACUCGCGUCGAAUCUAUCCAAAAUCAGAAUCACGGCGUCAGAAUAUGCUAAGGGAAUGAGGCCCAAGCGAAAAUAAUCAAAUUAUACAAAAAAUCCCGAAAUUGGCCAAACCCCGACCCCCGGGCCCACGGCUUGAAACUCGAUAAAAUUGUAUCAAGGGAAUCCUUAUCCUUCCACGAGUUCAUACAUACCAAGAAUACUGAAAUCCGAGUCCAAAUGACCUCUCAAAUUCUCGUUUUAAAGUCUUUUAAUCUCAAGCCCUAAUCCCUAAUUUUCUUCCUUAAUCUCCACUAAUACCAUGAUUAAACAAUGAAAAAAUGAUCAUAAACUCAAAUAAUGAAGCUUAGGGAACUUACCCAAUUGAUAUCCCUUGAUUUCUCUUGAAAUCCAUUGCCUUAGCCUCUUUCCCGUCUUCAAAAAUGGAGAACUUAGCAAAAUUUCACGAAGAAAACAAUAUAUACCUUCUGGCCCAGGGAUUCCGCACCUGCGGCCCAGAUACCGCAUCUGCGGUACCGCAUUUGCGGUCAAUUAGCCGUUUCUACGGUUUUCACUUAAUGGUCCAAAACUGCAUCUGCGACCAAGUAGCCACACCUGCGCUAUCGCAGGUGCAUUCAGCCAACCGCAUAUGCGGCUCUUGCCCUUCUCCUCCUUGACUGCUUCUGCGGUCCUUUCCUUGCAUCUGCGUCAUCGCACCUGCGAUCCCCAAUCCGCAGGUGCGGAAAUAUCAUAACAGAAAAAUCUGCAGCUUCUCAAAUUUCCCAAACUCUCCGACAACCAUCCGAAAUCACCCCGAGGCCCCCGGGACCUCAACAAAAAGCACCAACAUAACCCAAAACCUUGUUCAAACUUAUACCAAUCUUCAAAAUACCUCAAACAACACUGAAUCAACCAAACUCAUCGGAUUCAAGCCUAAGUUUACCAAAAUCUUCUAAAUUACGCUUUUUAUCAAAAACCCAACCAAACCACGUUCGAAUGACCUGAAAUUUUACACGCACAUCCCAAAUGACACAACGGAACUACUGCAACUCUCGGAAUUCCAUUCCGAUCCCUAUAUCAAAAUCUCACCUAUCAACCGGAAAUCGCCAAAAAUCCAAUUUCGCCAAUUCAAACCUAAAUCCACUCCGGACCUCCAAAACUCAUUCCGAUCACGCUCCUAAGUCCCAAAUAACCUCCCAAAGCUAACCGAACCAACGGAACUCACAUCCGAGCCCUUUAACACAUAAGUCAACAUCCGGUUGACUUUUCCAACUUAAGCUUCCUCAAAAAAGACUAAGUGUCUCAAACCUUACCAAAUCCUUUCCGAACCCGAACCAAUCAACCCGAUCACAUAUAGAACCAUUAGACAAAGCAAUAAGAAGCAAAAAUGGGGGAAAUGGAGUAGUAACUCAUGAGACGACUGGUCGGUCGUCACAACUACGAUAUUUAUGAAUUAUUUUUCCUAAAACUAGUUUGAGAUUAUUGCACAAGCCCAAGAAUUAUGGAAGCUUACAUUGGGGAAUAUUUAUCUAUUUCAAAGGAUCAAAUGCAGCUUUGGUGUUUCCCUACUGGAUUAAUUUAACGCAGACUCGAAUUUUCUUACUUUGUUUAAAUCCCUUUAUAACUUUGAUCAAACUAAUAGGGAAAACCAACCAAUUAGGCGUUCGAGAAGCUACCUUGGUUUGUUAUUAGGAGCUACUAACUUGACUGGGGACAAAUAAAACCAUUCAAUCUUCAAAGCAGUAUCGUUAUGGUUAAAACCUACGAAUUGGGGCUUAAUCGAAGUCCUGAUUCCUAAUAUUUAGCAACUAAAAAAUUAAAAGGCGGGUUCAUCUUGGGCCUUAUUUGUCAAUAACUGGGCCUAGCAACUCUGCUUUGAAUAGCCCAUUAGACGAACCCCAAUAUUUAAGCUUAAAUAAACAAAUUGACAUAGUCUAUAGAUGCGGACCUGAGUGUAGCCAGGCCCAAGACAGAUGACAAAUCAUUAUAAGGAAUGAAACAGAGGCUCUGGCCCAAUAUACAACAUGACAACAAUUACGAGAAGUUAAACAUGUGUUUACAAGAUCAGUUUGGAAUCUAUCUUUAACGAAUCAAAAGGAGCUAUAUUCAUGCGCUGAUUGCAAUAAAAUCUGAAGAUAUAACAAAAUUAAUACAAUGCCCUACGUUAUACAGAAAUAAUAUCUAAUUAAUUCUAAGAUUUCAUUCUAUGAACUUCCUUGAUGAAAUAUGUUUCUAGUGUGGUCUCCUCUCUUUAAGGGACAUUUGCAUCUAUACCCGUUUUUUGGGUCACGUUUUAACUUAUACCCGCUUUGCGAAAAAAAUUGCAAGCGUAUCCACUUUUUGCGUGACUUCAGACAUACAGGCCUGAAGUAGCAAAGGCAAUCACGCAAACUUCAGCAUUCUAGUAGACGGGCCUGAAGUAGCAAAAAUUGUUGAACCAAGUGUUGGCUGAAGUUUUUGUUUGUAAUUGCUGAACUUAAGCAUUCUAGUAGCUGAAGUUUUAUUCUCUAUUUGCUUAAGUUUUUAUUUGUAAUUGUUGAACUUAAGCAUUCUAUUAGCUGAAGUUUUGUUCUCUAUUUGCUGAACUUCAGCAUGUUUUAGCUGAAGUUUUGUUCUAUAUUUGCUAAACUUCAGCAUAUUUUAGCUGAAGCUUUGUUAUGUUUGUGAUAAACUUUAGGGGUGAAAUUUAUUUUGUUUUUGCUGAACUUCAGCAUUCUAGAAGUUGAAGUUUUUGUUUAUAUUGUUGAACUUCAACAUUCUUAACGUUUGUUGCUUAUAACCAAAAGUUAAGAAUAGGAGAUUGCAAAAAUGGAAGAAGAGUUGAAAACAAAUACUAAGCUUAUAACCAAGUAGAAGAGACUGAUUCAAAAUUGGAGGAAGGAGUUGAAGGACCAAUUAGACAAACACAACAUUGAGUUGGAAAGGGUGUAAACUACAAAGGAGUUUCUUCUUUUGCGAGGUCCAUUAUGUUGUUUUCUCUUGCUAUCAUCCCUUAGCAUUCUGUAUUGAAGGUGCUUGAAGACAAUGAGCUCACUACAAAGAUGAAUUGUGGCUAGCUUUCUGUAUUUAUUUGUUUGGAAGUUAUUAGGUUGGUCAAAGUACAUAAGCAUCAAACGUUAAUUUUCAGCAGAAAGUUUAUCUCUAUGAACUGAAGUUUCAUAGCAGCACCAACAGCAGCAGAAGGAAGAGGAGGAGAAAGGGGGCUGAACUUUUUUAAAAAGUGAGUACAAGUUAAAACGUUUUAAAAAAAUGGGAAUAGGUUAAAUGGGGGCGACUAAAUAGGGCGCCCCGUACCAUUUUUACUCUCUUUAAGCUACUUCCAAAUUUACAAAGACAUAGCCAUUGGGUUACUCUUCGUAAAUCAGUUUGGCUAUUCUAGUAAUUCAAUAGAUAGACAGCAUAUUAGGCUUAAUUCAGCUAUUAUUAGUAAUCUCAUUUAAAAAAAUGUCGUUAUUUGAGAAGGUAGAUCAACAUCAGUGGUGAACCGACAAUACAAAGGUCAACCCAAGAAAAACAAACUAAGCAGCAUUUUAUAGCUAGCAUGCUAGACCUAUAAGACUGAAACACACAAAUAUAUCAUCACAAUCAGACCAGAUCUGCAUAACAGAAGAAUUCAAUAGCAAGAAAUCAACUAGUCAUUUCAUAGAUUUGAGCAAAUAUGCUGAGAACACAACAACAGGCCAACAAGAAAUAAACAAACAUUCCUUUGAAAUAAAAAUCAUUGUACAGAAUCAUGAGAAAAUACCUAAACAACAUGGUGAAUCAACUAAAAGCCAAAUAAAGGCUAAGAGAAAAUGAAGAAAUCCAGCAGAACUCAGAACAGCUGCAAUACAAUGAAUUUUCAUUAACUCCAAAAGCUAUAAAAUCCAGAAUUUGCAGUAACAGAGUAGGACUUAGAAAAACAGCCUUGAAUAAUUUUUUUUUUCCUUUUUUUUGGUUUUUUCCUAUAUUUAUACUGAAUUUUUUCAGAGUGUUUUCUUUGAGAGCAAUGCAGAGGAUGAAUUUUUUCAGAGUGUUUUCUUUGAGAGCAAUGCAGAGAAUUAGUGUGUGUGUGAGAGAGGAAAAAUAUGUGGUCUCUUAUAGAGUGUAGGGGCGUUAGAUACACACACAAAAAUUUAGGGAAGUAUCUAGGAAUGUCAGCCCUAAAAAUAAGGAGAAAAGCAUCCUUUUUCAAUAAAUUUGGAUAGCUGUCCAUUUUCAAAUAGUCUUCUCAUUUUCAGCAUCUUUUAUUAACAGAUUUGGACAUCUGUCCGUCAUCUAUUCUUUUCCUACUUUUCCAGCCCCUUUACUCUUUCGCAUUUCCUUUUUACACCCCAAAUCCCAUGACCUAACUCUUUUCUUCAUCAUUUUAAUAUUGUUUUAACCCCUUCCACACUCUUCUAGAACCUUCCAACCAAUUAUGUGAAAUUCUUUUGAUUUAAACCCCUAAAUACCCCUUGAAACUCUGAAUAUUUACCUAAGGACCUAAUUUUAUGGACCUGGGGUCAUGUGACCCUAGGUCAAAGUGUACAGACUCCACGAGAAUUCUCAAUCCCCAUUAUCCCAAUCUUUCAAAUUGAUGGACCUACACUAGUUACACAAAAAUCUAGCCCAUUUCUAAAUUAAAGCCAAACGAAAAAUAGUGUAUAUGUUCGAAUGAACUCAACAAACAAUCAAACAAUGAUCCAAACAAAUCCUAAAACCUACUUCAAAUUAUAAUUAACUCAAAUCCAAAUAAGCAAAUAACAACUCUGAUAGCCAAUUAAGCAGUAAAUCAUUAAUUAGUAAUUUAACGACAGAUCAAUAUUCAUUACUUAACCAAAGUGAAUGAACAGGAAAGGAGUAACCUAAAUCAAAUCACAUGACUGACUUAGCUUAACUAAACUGUAUGACUAUAUGCAAUUAAACAGGCAAUUAAAACGAAAGGGAGGGAGAUAUACCUAAUAAGUAAACACCAACAAGGACUAAAUGGCCAAGUAGAAGACUCGAACAGACUCCGAUGGCUGUGAUAUGAACUAAGACUAACAUCAAUUGAUUUCUCUCAUCAAAAGCAAUUGAUUGAUCUAUCUUGGGUUCAAACAGGCCGAGAUUGAAGGGAAAUAGAAAAGGACAAACUUAGGGUUUUUCGACCUUCUGAGAUCUGUAAUUCAUGGAGUUCUAAUGGAAAUUGAGGAAAAUUAACGAUAGAAUAGUGAUAAGAGGAAGCUUGGGAUUAUGGGGUGAUAUUUUAGGGCUGUUUGGCGAUGGGCCGCCGCCAUGGAUGAUUUCCGGCGGCAGUCUAAGGCUGAGGUUGAGAAAGGGUGAGGAGAGAGAUUGGUAAAGUAAUUGGGAGUAAGGGAAAUGAGUCUUAGAC
rnacentral:lncRNA from 1 species